UCUCGCUUCUCUGCCGUUUUACUGCCUGCCUGUAUUUAUAUUUAAUAUAGCAGCAGCUGGCUGCUCUCACCAUUUGUCUUCCAAAGAUCUCCAGUUCUGGACCGACAACACAGAAGGAGCCCCAGUAGCACAGGCCAGUGGUUUUCCUCCGUGACCCUGGUGGAGCUGGAGUGUCCCACAGAGAUCCCAUUUAAAGAGCUGAAGUGACAGAGGGGAUGCCACAUCCUCAGGCACUUGCUGGCCACCAUCAAGUCACCUCUGAACCUUCCCAGGGAUGGACUAAAUGCACCGAACCGGCUCCCUGCUACAGACGCUGCGGUGCCUUGUGCAGUUAUUCGUGUCUCCUGCUGGGGUCAAAACACCUCUCGCCUUGCCCUGGUCCAUGUGUCCGAGGGCUGUUUGGCCUCCCGGGGGCUGCGGUUCAGCUGCGGUUGGGGAUCAGCCCAGAGCCAGGGUCCGGUGCGAGGUGGUGGUGGCGGAGAGGCCAGCCCCAAGCUCAGGAUCAACCGGCCACGGCCAGAGGGGUUCACGUGCAGGUAUGCUGGGGUGCCAAAAGACCGAGAGGCAGGUCCUGAGACAGGCAGCUCUCCUGGACGCAGCAGGAGAGCAGCAAAGGAGGGACAGCCACGCUGUGGUUGGAGCCUGGUGACGCAGAUUUCACCCAGCUCCAACUGACUGUAAUUGCAGAGAAAGCAGGAGCAGCUUGAAAAUCCCCGGGACGGCAUAACUUCCCGGCGAGGAGAAAGGGGCCUUCACGAGGUCUUGAACCGGUGUCCUUACGCACUGCAUACCGCAGUGUGAUGUGUGAGCACUCAGCCACUCCACCACAAGUUAGAAAUGAGAAAUUUCAAGGGCUA